rnacentral:rRNA from 1 species
CCUACGGGGGGCAGCAGUGAGGAAUAUUGGUCAAUGGCCGAGAGGCUGAACCAGCCAAGUCGCGUGAGGGAAGACGGCCCUACGGGUUGUAAACCUCUUUUGUCGGGGAGCAAAGCGAACCACGUGUGGUUCAUUGAGAGUACCCGAAGAAAAAGCAUCGGCUAACUCCGUGCCAGCAGCCGCGGUAAUACGGAGGAUGCGAGCGUUAUCCGGAUUUCUUGGGUGUAAAGGGUGCGCAGGCGGGGGUGUAAGUCAGCGGUGAAAUUGCGGGGCUCAACCCCGUACUGCAGUUGAAACUGCAUCCCUUGAGUGCGCGAGAAGUAUGCGGAAUGCGUGGUGUAGCGGUGAAAUGCAUAGAUAUCACGCAGAACUCCGAUGGCGAAGGCAGCAUACCGGCGCGCAACUGACGCUCAUGCACGAAAGCGUGGGUAUCGAACAGGAUUAGAUACCCGAGUAGUC